UACGGGGGGGGGCAAGCGUUGUUCGGAAUUACUGGGCGUAAAGGGCUCGUAGGCGGCCAACUAAGUCAGACGUGAAAUCCCUCGGCUUAACCGGGGAACUGCGUCUGAUACUGGAUGGCUUGAGAUUGGGGAGAGGGAUGCGGAAUUCCAGGUGUAGCGGUGAAAUGCGUAGAGAUGUGGAGGAACACCAGUGGCGAAGGCGACUCUUUGGCCUGUAACUGACGCUGAGGCGCGAAAGCGUGGGGAGCAAACAGG
rnacentral:rRNA from 1 species